AGAGGAGUGAUACAUUUCUGCUUAAGAUGUGAGAAACAUAGUAAGUAGCUGAAUGUUAAUUCAGGCUAUCACCUAUAAUUAGGACAUCAAGACUGGAAUUAACAGUCUUCAGUCUGGAAAUGAACACUCAUCAUCAAAGAAGAGCUACCUUAUUUAAAUAAUUUAAAUGAAGAUCAAUUUUAAUCAAAAUUUAUAUUAUUGCAUAUGAAAAUGGCUCCUUUUAUUUUUCUUAAAAUUUUGAUGUUACCAUGAAAAUGAACAAUGACCUUGCUCAGAGAUAUGUGGCAUGUGGCUGGCAAUAUUCCAUUAGGGUUGAAAAUUUGAAUGAAUAUCUACUUAAAGCUUGGCUGCAUGGCUAACACCCUCCAGGCAGCUGAGAAGUCAGGAAUCGGUCUUUCUGCUUUUCCAGGAAUUCCUGAACUAGAGGCAAUAGUACUGGAAAGAGAUGCCAUGACACACCAUGUCAACACAGAAAGUCAAGAUGAGAUACAGGAUGCUUAAAAGCAGAAGCAGAAGGAUUUGAACUGCCUGUGCAGGAUUAGGAGCCUGACUGGUCUCUUUCGACUGUCAACAAUAAUAGAAUUGAGUUCCACACUGAAGAUAAUUGCCUCAAGUCAUUCUCCAGCCACAGGGAAGAUACAAGGGUGACAGUGACAUGUAAACUUCCCAGCCACUGAAAUACAGCAAAAAGUUUUCCACAGAGCCUGGACUGCUGCCUGUUGCAACUGGAAGCUAUUUGAACAAAACAUCCACAAGGACUAAAACUCUCUUUGCACUUAGACUGUACGUAUGCCUAAACUCCCUGGUUAGAUUUGUAUUGAAACAGUAGUGUCUCACUGGAGACAGAAAGAAUUAUCUCCCAAAAAUCUGAUCUGGGAUUCUGUCCUUAAAAAGAGGGCCAGGAGAAAAGUGUCCCAAGUGUUUCAGAAAGCAAUCAGCUGGAUUGGUAGAAUACCAAACACAGACAAAGGAUUUAUUUCUAAAUAGUGAAAAAAUAAAAGAAGAUAAAAUUUAGGUAGUUUUCCUGAAUACCUUAGAGCAAGAAAAUCACUAUUUCAAGGUUAUCUUUCCUUUCAUCUCCAUCUGAUUCAAUAGAAAAAGGUGUUCUUAAACUUAUUUAUUAUGUUUUGUGAUCAGUUUCAUUUUCAUUAGGCUCUCCUGUUGUGAUAUGGGCUACAGUAUUUGUUUUUCCACCUCAGUAGCAUUACACUGUUCAUUUUGUGGAAGAUCCAUUCUCUUAAAAUAUAUACUGUUGAAAAUAAAAUUAUUUAAUCAUGGCAACUGUCUCUAUCUUUUCAAUACCAUUUCACUUCCCUUCUGUGAGGUGAUGUUCUUCAUUCCAGUUUAUAUUCCAGUGUCAAGUAGCAUGUAAUCUAAAACUAGCUGUCCUGUUCAACUAGGAUAGGGUUAAGUUU